CAAUCUUGCUGGGAGGAAGAGAGCUCAAGGGAGAAUAUAGAUGUCCUGUUAAUCAGGACAUAAAAAAGAAAGGAGAAGCUAUGAUGUGACAGUGACUGGUGGAAGAAAAUCUGGCAAACAGCAGAGAGAAGAUUGGGAGAUAUGACAAUUUGGGGAAUUGUGAACCUGCUGGAACUGCACAAGGAAAUCCAAGUGGCCAGUUGCAGUUUCUUUGGAGAAAAUGGGGACCAGUUGGACAAGACCUGAAUGCCUCAACCUUCAACUACAAAUGGCCUGGUCAGAAAACCAAGGUGCUGUUAUAUGUCUGAAUCAUGUUACAUUGGAUUAAACAGCAUGUCUCUUGUCGUGUCCCUGCAUCAGCACAGAACAG